CAGCCUUGUUGAGGACCUUCGUUGUAUGUUUGGGUUUAGCAGCACUUUUAAUAAGUCUUGUUACACUCAACAUCUGGACAAGAACUAAAGGGAAAGAAACCCGGAUGGAAGAAAUCAUGCAGCUGGAUGAGGUGGUAGAAGAAGACGACUCGGUAAACUAUGAAAACGAUGAAGAGCCUUCUGCCUCCGUCUCACUGGACUGAUGGACGACGUGAAGCCACCACAGAGUCCCCUGAUGUCACCCACCACGACGCCGUUGUCCACGGCAACAGACGCUUUAAGAGGCUUUAAGAAGCUUCAAUUAAACAAUGUUAUAUGUUCAUUACUCUGCUCUUAACUGCUGUUUAUAUGUUCACUUGUUCUUAUUCACCCUGCUACGCUGUAUUCUAUUACACAAUGUUAUAUGUACAUCACUCUGUUCUCCUGUUUAAACUUCACUUCAUCAUCUCAGUAUUUGAA